rnacentral:rRNA from 1 species
GCCAGACUCCUACGGGAGGCAGCAGUCGGGAAUAUUGCGCAAUGGAGGGAACUCUGACGUAGUGACGCCGCGUGCAGGAAGAAGGUUUUCGGAUUGUAAACUGCUUUAGACAGGGAAGAAACAAGACAGUACCUGUAGAAUAAGCUCCGGCUAACUAUGUGCCAGCAGCCGCGGUAAUACAUAGGGAGCAAGCGUUAUCCGGAUUUAUUGGGUGUAAAGGGUGCGUAGACGGGAAAUUAAGUUAGUUGUGAAAUCCCUCGGCUUAACUGAGGAACUGCAACUAAAACUGAUUUUCUUGAGUACUGGAGAGGAAAGUGGAAUUCCUAGUGUAGCGGUGAAAUGCGUAGAUAUUAGGAGGAACACCAGUGGCGAAGGCGACUUUCUGGACAGUAACUGACGUUGAGGCACGAAAGUGUGGGGAGCAAACAGGAUUAGAUACCCGAGUA